rnacentral:rRNA from 1 species
GUGGGGAAUAUUGGGCAAUGGGGGAAACCCUGACCCAGCAACGCCGCGUGAGGGAAGAAGGUUUUCGGAUUGUAAACCUCUGUCCUUGGUGACGAAGGAAGUGACGGUAACCAAGGAGGAAGCCCCGGCUAACUACGUGCCAGCAGCCGCGGUAAUACGUAGGGGGCAAGCGUUGUCCGGAAUGACUGGGCGUAAAGGGCGUGUAGGCGGCCGAUUAAGUCUGGAGUGAAAGUCCUGCUUUCAAGGUGGGAAUUGCUUUGGAGACUGGUUGGCUUGAGUGCGGAAGAGGUAAGUGGAAUUCCCAGUGUAGCGGUGAAAUGCGUAGAGAUUGGGAGGAACACCAGUGGCGAAGGCGACUUACUGGGCCGUAACUGACGCUGAGGCGCGAAAGCGUGGGGAGCGAACAGGAUUAGAUACCCUAGUAGUCC